rnacentral:rRNA from 1 species
UACGGGAGGCAGCAGUGGGGAAUUUUGGACAAUGGGGGAAACCCUGAUCCAGCCAUGCCGCGUGAGUGAAGAAGGCCUUCGGGUUGUAAAGCUCUUUCAGCCGGAACGAAACGGUCACGGUUAAUACCCGUGACUACUGACGGUACCGGAAGAAGAAGCACCGGCUAACUACGUGCCAGCAGCCGCGGUAAUACGUAGGGUGCGAGCGUUAAUCGGAAUUACUGGGCGUAAAGCGUGCGCAGGCGGUUUUGUAAGUCAGAUGUGAAAUCCCCGGGCUUAACCUGGGAACUGCGUUUGAAACUACAAGGCUAGAGUGUGGCAGAGGGGGGUGGAAUUCCACGUGUAGCAGUGAAAUGCGUAGAGAUGUGGAGGAACACCGAUGGCGAAGGCAGCCCCCUGGGUUAACACUGACGCUCAGGCACGAAAGCGUGGGGAGCAAACAGGAUUAGAUACCCUGGUAGUCCACGCCCUAAACGAUGUCAACUAGUUGUCGGGUCUUAACGGACUUGGUAACGCAGCUAACGCGUGAAGUGACCGCCU